GGCUCGAUUAGUUCUUUCAUUGAAUCCAGCAAAUCGCCAACUUACGUUGUUGAGGCGUGUUUUCGGCAAAGCCACUGGGGCUUAUUGAUUGGAUAAAAUUGUCCUAUUGCCAAGCGCUAGGCAGUUUGCUACCGUAACCUGGCACUCGAGUAGAGCGGAAGUUAGUAGGGGAACUAUUUGUAAGU